rnacentral:misc_RNA from 1 species
GCUUGAUAAAAAACAUUUAACAGAUUGCAACUCCUUGUCACUUGCCUACCUUUCUUUCUUUCCUAUGCAUUGAUAUUGUAAUAUAAACUUGUCUUUGCAGUACUCUGAUCUCUGUUUAGGCAAAAUUCAAAUAUACUGUUUAUCCAGGACAAAUGGAGAGUGAACCAGUGAAUGUGAAUGAGUUUCAAGAGUUGGCUAGGCAAGCCCUUCCAAAGAUGUAUUAUGAUUUACUAUGCUGGAGGAGCUGAGGACCAGCACACACUGAAGGAGAAUGUGGAAGCAUUUCGUAGGAUCACGUUCCGACCUAGAAUUCUUGUAGAUGUGAGUCAAAUAGAUAUGUCAACUACCAUAUUGGGUUACAGAAUCUCUGCACCCAUUAUGCUUGCUCCAACUGCUUAUCAUCAGCUUGCAAACCCUGAAGGUGAGUUGGCCACAGCAAGAGCUGCAGCAGCGUGUAACACAAUUAUGAUUUUAUCAUACAUGUCUUCCUGCACAGUGGAGGAGGUUGCUUCCAGCUGCAAUGCCAUUCGAUUCUUUCAAUUAUAUAUGUACAAGAGACGAGAUAUAUCGGCCCAGCUAGUGCAGAGAGCUGAAAGAAAUGGAUACAAGGCUAUUGUCCUAACGGUUGAUGCUCCCAUACUUGGCCGAAGGGAGGCAGACAUUAAGAACAAGAUGGCUGUACCACAGUUGAGGAAUUUUGAAGGUCUCCUUUCAUUUGAAGUUUCCUCGGAUGAAGGUUCAAAGCUUGGACUUUUUGCCAAAGAGACUUUUGAUCCUUCUUUUUCGUGGAAGGACAUAGGCUGGUUAAGAUCCAUUACAAACUUGCCAAUUCUUAUUAAGGGUGUACUUACUCGAGAAGAUGCAAUAAAGGCUGUGGAAGUUGGUGUUGCUGGGAUUGUUGUCUCAAAUCAUGGAGCUCGGCAGCUUGAUUAUAGUCCAGCCUCUAUCACUGUUCUGGAGGAGGUGGUUCAUGCUGUUGGAGGGAAAAUUCCUGUUCUAUUUGAUGGAGGAGUACGGAGGGGAACUGAUGUUUUCAAGGCCUUAGCCCUUGGCGCACAAGCUGUUCUUGUUGGAAGGCCAGUUGUCUUCGGGCUGGCAGCAAAGGGAGAAUAUGGAGUGAGACGGG